rnacentral:rRNA from 1 species
AGCGAACGUUUGCGGCGGGCCUAACACAUGCAAGUCGAACGAGAAUCUCUUCGGAGAGGACAGUGGCGCACGGGUGCGUAACACGUGGAUAACCAACCCCCUGGCUCGGGACAACACUGGGAAACCGGUGCUAAUACCGAAUGUGUCGGAGGUGUCAUCAGGCACCAUCGAGAAUGGCACGCAAGGGUCGCCAGGGGACGGGUCCGCGUCCCAUCAGCUAGUUGGUGAGGUAAUGGCUCACCAAGGCUAAGACGGGUAGCUGGUCUGAGAGGAUGAUCAGCCACACUGGAACUGAGACACGGUCCAG